UUAGAACAGUGGAGUCCUGGCUAACUCAUGUUAACCAGCUACGUUAGCAUGUUAGCUAUUUCCUCAGUGGCUAUUAAAAUUCCAACCAACUGUAAUGGGUUGAAAUGGAGUGCCUGUGCCUUUAAGGCAACCCACCACAUCGGUGCCACACCGGAUGCCGGAUGGGUAGUAAUUAUCAAAGAGGCUGAUGCUUGCUUUAUAAGUGUGGUGUCAGACAUGGCCUGGGAAGCGACAGGACUAGGUUGGGAUUGUUUGUCUGUCUCUAGUUUUGUGCCCUCGUUUGCUCCUUCUCAGUCUGUGCUCCUGUGGUUAGCAGCUCGUGGAUAUCCGUGGUCUUCUGCAGAAGGGACCCAUUGUUGGGAGUGGUGCUGCAGGAGUUGGGAGUCGAGCGAUUGAUCGUUGUGAGUCAGUUAGCGAUUCGUGAGCUAAGGAGUGUGUGGGUUUUGUUGUCUUCUGCUGGUUUCAUGGUCCGAUUGGCCACCCUGUUCAAUACGCGUCCAUUAUCGCAGGGAAAUCGCAUUUCAUCAGCUGUUGUGGUUGUACGCUGGCUACAUCCAUUGGAGUGGAUCUCUAUCACCAGCUAAUACUUGUGCUGCUGUUUUGUCUGAUUUUGUUUUGUUUUAUUUAGUAUGCCGUCUGUCCGACGUGAUGCCAUUAGCUGUAGGCCUAAUCUAGGCGAGCCUACUGUGCGUGCUGGCACAGGCUUCUUACAGUAACCCUCCGCUUGUGUGUGUGCAUGCGGGCCUGUGUGUUAUUUGUAUGGUUUUAUUUCUGUCUUUGUCUGUUGUGGGAAAAGGUCAGCGCGUCAUUGGCGUUGUGUUUAGUUUGUUUAUUUCUGUUAUCUUGUCCAUUAUGUCUCACCAGUGGCAAGUGUCGUCUAUUGCAUGGGCAUGUGUCUGUAUUUGUCACAAAGUCUGCUGUGAGUGGUUAAGGCGCUUUUGUGGUGCCCUUGUUGGGUUUUGGUUCUGUUGCUGUUGUGCAUGCUGUGUUUACUCUAACUGUAAGCUUACUUACACCUUUGUUUCACUGCCCCUCAGACGGUGAGAGCGUCUGUUGGCUCCUCAUGACUUAGACCGGUUUCUUGACCCAUUGGUGUGAUUGUGUCUUUCAUUGUUUCUUUUUUUUUGUUACCGAAGUUGGGGCUUUACUGCAGGGAGGCUUGUCACCUUGUGGUGGGUGUCCUAUUUUUCAUGUGUGUUUACUGUGUGCAUUCCCAGUGUAGCAUGCACCUGGGUGGUUGUGGUGUAUCCAGAGUUCCACGUGUGGUCCUGUUGACCCCAGUCCAGAUAGCCUGCCUCCCCUGGACUAACCUCUCCUUAUAAUGAGGCUGUGAUCUCUUAUUUGCUCGGAGCUAGCCUAUGUCUGCAAGUCAUGACGCCAUUGCGUCUGCUGGAAGCAAGACAGACUCCGAAGUAGCCUACAGGGCAACGCACCACAUACGUCUGCAAACGGACUGAAUUCAGACAGAAUGCUGCCAGUUACCUUUGCUCCAAGGUGGCAAACAGCCACUUCACGGUGCUGUAGGAUUUUGGGCUUCUCGUGAGCUUACCAUUUAUAGCCUACGUAGGUAUAUUGUGUGUCUGUGCUAAUAAAGCUCUUUCUUUGAAUUAA